GCCAGAAAGGCCCGCACGUGGUGCACUGGCUCGCUGGCGCCGGCGCAGCGACCCCUAGUGGGCGCUGAUCCUCGGAGGACCGCCCCAGGCCGAGCUGAGCCAGGCCGCUUGCCCGGCGUGGUUCUGUGUGGUUCAAGAGAGAUUGGUUACAAGGCAGUGGUCCUUUCUCUGAAGUCGCCAAUACAUUUUAACAACAACGGUAUCAUCAGAAAAAUGUCUCAGUUUGGCAAAAUCCUUCUUACUGAUGGUCCCCGUGAGUCCAGAAAAAUGGCUACUGCUGUUUCCUAAAUGCUGGGAUGGAACCCAGGGCCUCACCAUUCCCAGCCCUCAGUAACCUGUUGCUGUAAGAGCUAAACUACUCCCCGAGAUCAGGCCAGUGCCCUGGGAGCUGACUGUCUUCCUGGGGCUCCACCGUCUCUACACUGCCACUCUGGGACCGAGAUUCCAGCACAUAGGAGGACACGCCAUACCCACACAUAGCAUCAGGUUAAAUAUGUCAUCGAAACCAACUGGAUCUAUUUCAUUUUACUUUUUUAUGUGGCCACCAGGAAAUUAAAAACCAGUGAUCGUGUGUGUAUGGAGGACAGCACUGGUGAAGAAGUCCAAGGAGACACGAAUUCCCUGUGGUGGCCAGCAGUUGGCUGUCCCAUGGCAGCACGCCCUCUGGCUUCUUGAGGCCCCUCCCAAAACAGAAGACAGCCGAGGAGAAGCUCGCCACCCUUUUGGAAGAGGAACGAGGCUGUUGUCUCAUUUUUGCCCACAGGUGGAAUCUGCUUAGUCUUACUUUUGGAUGCUGCCUUUAGGGUUUAAUUUGUUUCAAAUUAACACCAGGUGGCAAAUGCAAUUAAAGGGGAAAGUCACAAAUUUA